rnacentral:rRNA from 1 species
GACGAACGCUGGCGGCGUGCUUAACACAUGCAAGUCGAGCGGUAAGGCCCUUUCGGGGGUACACGAGCGGCGAACGGGUGAGUAACGCGUGGGUGACCUGCCCUCAGCUCUAGGAUAAGCCUGGGAAACUGGGUCUAAUACUGGAUAUGACUCCACGGUGCAUGUCGUGGGGUGGAAAGCCUUGUGCGGCUGAGGAUGGGCCCGCGGCCUAUCAGCUUGUUGGUGGGGUGAUGGCCUACCAAGGCGACGACGGGUAGCCGGCCUGAGAGGGCGACCGGCCACACUGGGACUGAGACACGGCCCAGACUCCUACGGGAGGCAGCAGUGGGGAAUCUUGCGCAAUGGGCGAAAGCCUGACGCAGCGACGCCGCGUGAGGGAUGACGGCCU